rnacentral:lncRNA from 1 species
UUGGAAGGAAUUCUUUCUUUACUACAUUCCUUUCUUCUUACUAUUAUUUAUAUCCUUAAAUAAUAAUAAAGCUUUCCUCUAAAAUACUCUUUUCUCAUGUAUAUUUUCAUAUUUAUUUGUAAUAUUAAAUAUUUUUAUAAAUAUGUGAUGCUCGAUACAAGAAACUUUUUCUUUUAUCUGCUUGAAACAAUAAAAAUUUAUCUUUAUUAAAUUUAUAAUGGAUCGAC